GACGGAGGGUGCUAGCGUUGUUCGGAAUUACUGGGCGUAAAGGGCGCGUAGGCGGCUGCUCAAGUCGGGUGUGAAAGCCCGGGGCUUAACCCCGGAACGGCACCCGAGACUGGGCGGCUCGAGACCGGGAGAGGUGGGUGGAAUACCCAGUGUAGAGGUGAAAUUCGUAGAUAUUGGGUGGAACACCGGUGGCGAAAGCGGCUCACUGGCCCGGUUCUGACGCUGAGGCGCGAAAGCGUGGGGAGCAAACAGG
rnacentral:rRNA from 1 species